GCCUUCGUGGUGCAAUGGCCAGCACACUCGGCGCAUAUUCGAGAUGUCGGAGGUUCGAGUCCCGCCGAAGGCA
rnacentral:tRNA from 1 species